UACGUAGGGUGCAAGCGUUGUCCGGAAUUAUUGGGCGUAAAGAGCUCGUAGGCGGCUUGUCGCGUCGGCUGUGAAAACCUGGGGCUCAACCCCGGGCCUGCAGCCGAUACGGGCAAGCGUAGAAUUCGGUAGGGGAGACUGGAAUUCCUGGUGUAGGCGGUGGAAAUGACGCAGAUAUCAGGAGGAACACCGAUGGCGAAGGCAGGGUCUCUGGGGCCACUACUGACGCUGAGAAGCGAAAAGCAUGGGAGC
rnacentral:rRNA from 1 species